GCCGUUGUAGCUGAGAAGGAUUAGCGCGGGUCUGAAGCACCCGAGAGGCCGGUUCGAUUCCGCGCCGGCGGCA
rnacentral:tRNA from 1 species